rnacentral:rRNA from 1 species
AGAGUUUGAUCAUGGCUCAGAUUGAACGCUGGCGGCAGGCCUAACACAUGCAAGUCGAACGGUAACAGGAAGAAGCUUGCUUCUUUGCUGACGAGUGGCGGACGGGUGAGUAAUGUCUGGGAAACUGCCUGAUGGAGGGGGAUAACUACUGGAAACGGUAGCUAAUACCGCAUAACGUCGCAAGACCAAAGAGGGGGACCUUCGGGCCUCUUGCCAUCGGAUGUGCCCAGAUGGGAUUAGCUAGUAGGUGGGGUAACGGCUCACCUAGGCGACGAUCCCUAGCUGGUCUGAGAGGAUGACCAGCCACACUGGAACUGAGACACGGUCCAGACUCCUACGGGAGGCAGCAGUGGGGAAUAUUGCACAAUGGGCGCAAGCCUGAUGCAGCGACGCCGCGUGAGUGAAGAAGUAUCUCGGUAUGUAAAGCUCUAUCAGCAGGGAAGAAAAUGACGGUACCUGACUAAGAAGCCCCGGCUAACUACGUGCCAGCAGCCGCGGUAAUACGUAGGGGGCAAGCGUUAUCCGGAUUUACUGGGUGUAAAGGGAGCGUAGACGGCAUGGCAAGCCAGAUGUGAAAGCCCGGGGCUCAACCCCGGGACUGCAUUUGGAACUGUCAGGCUAGAGUGUCGGAGAGGAAAGCGGAAUUCCUAGUGUAGCGGUGAAAUGCGUAGAUAUUAGGAGGAACACCAGUGGCGAAGGCGGUCUGCUGGACAGCAACUGACGCUGAGGCGCGAAAGCGUGGGGAGCAAACAGGAUUAGAUACCCUGGUAGUCCACGCCGUAAACGAUG